UGAGGAAUAUUGGUCAAUGGGCGAGAGCCUGAACCAGCCAAGUCGCGUGAGGGACGACGGCCCUACGGGUUGUAAACCUCUUUUAUAAGGGAAUAAAGGACAUCACGUGUGGUGUUUUGCAUGUACCUUAUGAAUAAGCAUCGGCUAACUCCGUGCCAGUAGCCGCGGUAAUACGGAGGAUGCGAGCGUUAUCCGGAUUUAUUGGGUUUAAAGGGUGCGUAGGCGGAUGGGUAAGUCAGCGGUGAAAUGUCCCGGCUCAACCGGGGAACUGCCAUUGAUACUGCCUGUCUUGAAUGCGGAUGCCGUGGGAGGAAUGUGUAGUGUAGCGGUGAAAUGCAUAGAUAUUACACAGAACACCGAUUGCGAAGGCAUCUCACGAAUCCGUUAUUGUACGCUGAGGCACGAAAGACGUGGGG
rnacentral:rRNA from 1 species